rnacentral:misc_RNA from 1 species
AACGCACCUUGCGCUCCUUGGUAUUCCGAGGAGCAUGCCUGUUUGAGUGUCGUGAAAUCUUCAACCUACAAGCCUUUGCGGGUUUGUUAGGCUUGGUUAUGGAGGUUUGUCGGCCUUGCGGUCGGCUCCUCUUAAAUGCAUUAGCUUGAUUUCUUGCGAAUCGGCUCUCGGUGUGAUAGUUGUCUACGCCGCGACCGUGAAGCGUUUGGCAAGCUUCUAACCGUCUCAUGAGAGACAGCUUCUUGACAUCUGACCUCAAAUCAGGUAGGACUACCCGCUGAACUUAA